GUUUCCGUAGUGUAGUGGUUAUCACGUUUGCCUCACAUGCAAAAGGUCUCCAGUUCGAAACCGGGCAGGAACA